GAUGAACGCUAGCUACAGGCUUAACACAUGCAAGUCGAGGGGAAACGAUAUUGGAAGCUUGCUUCUGAUAGGCGUCGACCGGCGCACGGGUGAGUAACGCGUAUCCAACCUGCCCAUCACUUGGGGAUAACCUUGCGAAAGUAAGACUAAUACCCAAUGACGUCUCUAGAAGACAUCUGAAAGAGAUUAAAGAUUUAUCGGUGAUGGAUGGGGAUGCGUCUGAUUAGCUUGUUGGCGGGGUAACGGCCCACCAAGGCGACGAUCAGUAGGGGUUCUGAGAGGAAGGUCCCCCCACAUUGGAACUGAGACACGGUCCAAACUCCUACGGGAGGCAGCAGCGAGGAAUAUUGGUCAAUGGACGAGAGUCUGAACCAGCCAAGUAGCGUGCAGGAUGACGGCCCUAUGGGUUGUAAACUGCUUUUAUAAGGGAAUAAAGUGAGUCUCGUGAGACUUUUUGCAUGUACCUUAUGAAUAAGGACCGGCUAAUUCCGUGCCAGCAG
rnacentral:rRNA from 1 species